CAGUCACCCCAUGGCCUUCACAGAGGGCUCCUUGGGCCUUGGCAACACCCAAAGUAGAUGAGUCCUGUUUCCAAGCCUGCUGUUUAGUGCAUCGGUCCCUGCAUGAAAGUCCUGAUUUCUCUGGUCUUUUCCUUAAAAGGUGUUUCAAUUGUUCCAGAAUUCACUGUAAGAGGCAGUGGUCUUAAUGAAAGGAAUUGGCACUUUUUAAGAGAGAUGGAUGCAUUCUUAUAGUGAAUUUCAGUGGUUAUUGAUUUUAGCAAAUAAAACUUUUCCUGUGUCUUUUAAAACUUUCUCAUGAGGGCUACUGGCCCUGAUCACUAAUAACAAAUCAAUGGGUUGUUGAGCAAUACUGCUUUUCUCUCUAUAUAUAUGUAUAUGUGUGUGUGUGUGUGUGUGUGUGUGUGUGUGUAUAUAUAUGAAAGCAUGGUUGAAUACAGCUGUUGAGGAUACCUGGGCCGAAGCUAGAAAUGUGUUGCUCUGUCAGGAUACUGUCCAGUUCUCGGGAAGAGACAACCUCUUGAUUGGCGGUCAUUUAUGUCUACUUUUUCUUGGUAUGACUAGUUACAGGCCAUUCAGGAUGUAGUGCUACUUGAAAACGAGGUCGGGGUCCAGGGAGGGAUGUUAUGACUGUGUGAUAUUGAACUGCAGAACUUCCAUGUGUUAGUUUCCCAGUAGAUUUGCAUGAUGGCUUUUUCUAAUGUACAAAGAUCUGCUUCAGGGAUGCCCGGAUCAUCUGGGAAGUUUAAACUGCUGGUGAAUCAUAUUAUAAAGAUUUUUUAAAAUAACAACAGUAUGCUGGUUGGAAUCAGUAAGGGGACAUAUUCAUUUGGAAAAGAACACGGUUAUUUGGUACAUUAUAUUUCUCCCCAAUUCAUUAUUAAUCUUUUUAUUUAUUCAUGUGGCCCCUUUGAGUCAAACACUGGGAUGAGCUGACCAGUAUGGCAUUUUUGAUCAUACAGGGAUGUAAGGAAAUAUUGGCUGCAUGAAGUAGUGUUGUGUGAGGCAUAAAGGAGGCUUAGAAAAACAUUUUAUUGAUUUUUCUGUGCUGUCCAGUGCCUGGGAAGAAAAUGUCAUGUUGUAGCCAUUGCAGGUACCAAGUUCUUGUCUGGAAGGUCACCUUGCUUAUCAUCAGGGCCAUGGUCCUUUAUUGCAACCAUGUUAUCUCCUUCAGUUUCAUCCUGAACAGAGGGCACAUAAAAUAGGUUAGAAGGAGGGUUAGGUAAAAAGGGAAAGAUGAGAAGAAAGGGGGUGGUGGAAAGAUUCCUACCAGAUAUUUUACAUGCCUGGGGCAAAGAAAGCUGGAUCUCUAUUCUUCCAUGGCCAUUGUUCGUGGGUCCCUUUGCAGCAACUUUGGGGUUUGUAGGUUUUCUUACUUCAUGGAUUGCAGAUGAUCUGUAACCUGCCAAAGUGUAUGUGUGUGUGUUUUCUGUUUUAAGAGAGAAUAGAUAGGCUGCCAUAACUAAUUUGGGGAUCAUAAAUGUGAGUUGUGAAUUUUUGGACGAAUCCAGGUGAACAGAUUUUACUCUGGAAAAAUAUCUUCACUGGAUAGCCUUAGAGCUGGCACUACCUUAAUAAUUCAAACCAUAAUGGAGUUGGAGGAAUUUUAUUAAAAGAAAAUCAAUACAUUUAUUUUAUGACAAGUAUUCCCCAUAGUCAUAUUGUGCUCCUUUUUCCAGCUUCUUCUUAUGUGGGCAUGGUCAACUGAAAAGGAAGCACUGGAAUCCCUGUGUCCUGCGCUGCGGUGGCCAUGUCUCCUUCCCCGCCCAGGGUUGCUGGGCAGUUCUCUGGAGUGCUCACUGCUUGCUGCACAUUACUGUUAUCAGUGGGGGAAAUCAGCAAUCCCAGUUUGUCACAUGACCCUCCCAUGAUAUGUUACUAUUAUAUUCAUCUCUUGUGUUUAUAAUCCAGUUGCUCGUGAAUUCUUGAAGACUCAAGGAACUAUGGCUUGGGAUGGUCUUGAAUCUAUAUCUUUUUCUUGAAUAAGAAAUAACCCUUCCUUAUAUCCCAGCUUCUACUCUUGAUUAGAAGAAAGUUAAUGGUGUAUUUACAAUUGCAGGUUUGGUGAUUGAAAAAUUCACUUCAAACUUUGGUACUAUACAUAAUUUUUUAUCAGUAGAGUUGCACAUUCUUACAUAUCCAUAGACUUCUAAAUCCUACCCUACCCUCACACAUCUCCCCUGCACACACAUUUUUUUUCCAUAAUUUACUCAUUGGGAGAAAUAACUUUGCUUCUUUUUCAACUGGUGGUUUGCAAGCUUUAGGGAUUAUUGGAGAAGGUUUGUGGUUAGAGUGUUUGUGGUUUCAAUUUCUACCUUUUAAAUUCAGUAAUAAAAUACAUAUUUAGAGUGAUUUUCUCUUGAGCAUUGAAUACGUGUUUGGCUGAGGGUGUGUGGCAUUUAAUGGAUAUCAGAUGAGAGAAUCCAUGGUCCAAUUCAGUUCAUUUAACAUUAGAUGAAUUCCUCAUGUUACCAAAUUCAUGACCAUUAUGUAGUUUACAUAGUUCUAAUUCAUGGUCCUAUACUAUGUAGCAGUAAGGGCCAAGAUAGAAAAGAGAUGAAACACUCAUACUCAAAUUAUGUAGUCUGAUGAGAUUUUAAUAAAGAGAAUGUUUAAAUGUAUGAGCAAAGUGCAGGGGAACCACAAGGGAUAAUGGAGAACACAGACCAGGAAUGGCAGGGAGCCACAGUCAAGCCAAGUCUGAGGAGGCAGGAGAUGGAGUAGACCCCUUCACAGGAGUGGUGAUCCGUGGUCAAGACUCAGCCAGGCUGAGGUGCCUUACCCUGGGAAAUAAAUAACCCAACUUCAUUUACCUUCAUUCUCUGGUAGCCAAUCCCAGUGGACACCAGAGCUCCCGGAACUCUGUUGAGGCAACCCGUAAAAGUUAGUCUUGUACAAUAGGACGCAGGGUGGAGAAAGUUGGAGACGCAGAUGGGAUUAAUCUGGCACAUAUUAUUUAAUGCAAGCCUGUAUUCAAUCAAUGAUUAAAGGCAGAAUGUGUGCUUAUUCUGCAAACAUGCCUCUGGCUGGUCAUCCUCAGAUCUACACAUUGCAUUCAUUCAAUAAAAAUUCAUUAAAAACUGAGUUUUCCAUAGUACUUAAAAAUCAGUACAUAAAGAAAAAUAAAAUAUUGAUUAUAGCUAAUUUGACCUCCCCCUUUUUUUGAGAGAGAGAACCAAGCACCCACUUUCAGUAGUAUAGUAAUUGUGGGAAUAUGUUUGUAAAUCAAAACACGAAACCUUAUCUUUUUCCUUUAUUUAGAAACGUGUAAAAGUUAUCGAAAGCUAACUUUAAUUCUUAAAGUAUUUCAAGUAUCAGAUCUGGAAAGUGGCUGUUAGUACAUUAAUACAGUUAAAUUUUCCCUGCAUUUUAAGGAAUCUUCAUUUCCCUAACCAAACUUACCGCAUCAUUAUGAAUUACUUGUCCAUAAUUCCUAUGCCUUUAAAUAUUUAAUUAGUUUAAGUAAAUUAAACAGUAUGAAGCAUUUAUUAAAUAUCAAAAUAACUAUAUUAUAAUGAAUAUUGUUAAAAACUAAUUGAAGAUGAACUUAGGAUGCAAUAUGUAAAAUAUGCACAGCUGAGCUGGCGCCGCGGCUCACUAGGCUAAUCCUCCGCCUAGCGGCGCCGACACACCGGGUUCUAGUCCCGGUUGGGGCGCCGGAUUCUGUCCCGGUUGCCCCUCUUCCAGGCCAGCUCUCUGCUGUGGCCAGGGAGUGCAGUGGAGGAUGGCCCAGGUCCUUGGGCCCUGCACCCCAUGGGAGACCAGGAAAAGCACCUGGCUCCUGCCAUCGGAUCAGCGCGGUGCGCCGGCCGCAGCGCGCUGGCCGCGGCGGCCAUUGGAGGGUGAACCAAUGGCAAAGGAAGACCUUUCUCUCUGUCUCUCUCUCUCACUAUCCACUCUGCCUGUCAAAAACAUAAAAAUAAAAAAAAAUAUGCACAGCUGAAGGAAGUAUACUUAAUAUUUUUGUAAUUCAAAAAUAUAGAGAUGAUUAAAGUGAUUCCAUUUGGGUGCAGUUGUGAUAUAAUGUGGAAAGUGAAAGGGAUGACAGAGUGUAAAAUAAUAGACGACACUGACUGGGGUCUUUGGGGAAUGUUCUCUUCUCAGCUCAAAACACAGUUCUUUGAUGAUCUGAAAAUAUGUAUCCUUGAGAGUCAGUUUUCAAGAUAUCCUUCAAGACUAGGCACAAAAAUGGAUGUUCAAGGAUGAUGGUCCGUGCAUUUGCUAGGUGCCCAUGUAUUUGUCCAGCUUUGGCCAUUUGCCUCAGGAGGAUCAUUAAGGAGGCACAGAGUAGAUAAAACAAGGGCAGGGAAUCCAAACCUCUUCCUGGAGAAUCCGCCAGCAGAACUGCUGGAAUCCUGGCUUUUUUUUCCGUCUUUGGCUGAUAUUAAGAAUGGGGACCAGUGCACACCAUCUACGCUCUGCUCCUAAGUGCUUGAUUGUGUUAGAUUCCUCAUGGGAGUGGUGUUACUUGGCAUUUGUGCUUUUGUGUUUGGCUUAUUUCACUUAACCUAACCUAACGUCCUCUCUAGGAAGUGGUAACAGGGAGGUAUUAGUCAAAGUGUACAAAGUUUCAGUAAUAUAUGACGGGUAAGUCCUAGGGAUCUACUGUACAAUGGCCUAUAGUUGACAGUACUGUGUUGUAUACUUAAAAAUUUGAUGAGAGUAAAUCUCACAUUAAGGGUUCCUAUUACUAAAAAAGGUGAUGGGAGGAAAUUUUGUAGGUGAUAGAGUUGUUUUUGGCAUAGAUUCUUGUAUUGCUUCAUGACUAUAUAGUUAUCUCUCAUCAAGUUAUAUACAUUGAAUAUACAUGGCUUUAUAUUCAUCAGUUAUACCUCCAUAAUGUGUGUUUUUUUUUUAAAGGAAAGUAGCCAGGGGCGAAGGCCUCCUUACUGCGGUUCCUGUGGUUAUGGAGGCCCUCAGUUCUCACCUGCAGAGCCAUCUUCCUGCUGUCACCCUCCCCCAGACAAUGUCCUGGAAGUUAUAGCUAAUACAGCUCUUUGGUCACCCCGGGACCCUUUUCUUAUUCUUCAUAAGGAUCCCUACUUUUGCGUCUCUUUCGGGUUGCUGCCGUUAAGGCUGCUGGUGCUUGUGAACUGUUGUCACCCACCUGUGGAGCAGAGACCCACACCUCAGGCUAGGGAGGGGAUAGACACUUCUGCCAUGAUGCUUAGUCCCAGAAGAUUUCAGGUGCCCAGGAAAAUGACUGAUUUCCCUUCUGUUCAUGGCUCUUCUACUCCCAUAAGGCAAAUGAUCCUUGGAGACAAAUGGUCUCCUGCUCAUAUCCCUACUUUUUUCAGUAAAGUCAAUUCUGUUUCCACUUCUCUCUCUCUCUCUCUCUCUCUCUCUCUCUCUCUCUCAAAUAAAAUCUGACCCUAGGCAUGUGCCUCAUGGUAAAUCUGCAGCUUUGAUUCUUAGUUUGUUGUGAGACUGAUCCUAGCACAUACCUCAUAUGUGCUCACUCAUUCUUUCCUUUUAAAAGAUACAAGUAUUAGCAAUUAAAACAUUUUAUAAAACCACUACUUAAUGAUAGUAAUUUAGAAAUAGAGGAACAAUAAGAAAAGUGAUUCUAACACUUUUUGAUAUCCUUGUGUUCUUUCCCUAUUCAGAGUCACUGUCAAAAGUAGGAGAUAAUACAAGUAAAGCAGGUUCGUGGACAGUCAUGAUCAAUGUGUGCCCCAUGGUUAGAUACUAAUUGAUAAGAGCUAGUUCCUUCCUUUUAGCACAUGAAAAACACAUGUAUUUCAGACUACAUAAAUAUCAACAAAAAUUUUGGAAUUUUUCAAGGAAGAAAUAAGAAAUGUACAACUUCUGUGCUUUCUAUAUUGGCAGAACAUGGAAUACUGAGAAAUUAUAAAAUCACAAAUAUGGUGAAAAUAUACAAAUACAUAACAACAUGAUAUAUAUGCUGUAUAAUAUUAUGCAUAGUCUGUUUAUAUAAUGUUAUUUUUGCCAGACAAGAGAAUGGAAAUUCAUAGAAGGCUAAAUAGAGAAAAAAAGUUGGAGAGAUGAGGAAAAUAAGAAUAUCUGAAGAAAAAUUAGAGACGGUAGUGAGAAAUAUCGGGUGAAAAGCGAAACAUGGAGAGGAAGGAAGAAAGGGAGGAGACGUAGGCAGUUAGAGGAGAAGGGAUGAGGAAUAAUAGGAGCCUCUGGGGAAUGAGUAAGAAAUUCUGCAGCAGGAAGAGGAGAAGUUCUGAAGCUACUACGAUCAUGCCUACAAGAGGGCUAUGCAUGCUCUUGGGACCCACCAAGAUCCUGCAUGGUAGGCAGACUUGCAGAGCUGCAAGGGAAGCAGUUCCCAACUGCUGUUCAUUAUUUGUCUGUUUCUUUAAACUUGAAGCCAGUUUGCCUAAGACCCUAUUUGUGGAACUCCACCCUUACCUCGAUUUUCAAUUUGCCUUUCUAGAAUCCAUUAACCAUGAAAAUCACACAUAUCACUCUUUUCCUUGGGGAGUAAAAGCAUGGGAAUGUCAAACAGACAUCUAGAAUAUCAAUGUCAGAAAAAGCCUCCUCUAAUUUAAAAAAACAGUACAGUGAAAAAUGACUUAAAGGAGGACAAAGAGAUAAUAUGACUUUUCUUGUUGUUAAAGAAAAAGCUUAUGUGUAUAUUUUAAAAAUGGACUAGUCCAGUGUUAACAAGCCCUGUGGUUGGUUUGUUCUCUCUCUAGGCAGGGAAAUGCACACUGAGUAGUUAACUCAGAAGUAAAAAUCAAGGUUCUGCUGGUUAAUAAUUUCACUUUCAUUCCCCAUAGAGCAGAAUUCACCUAAAAGUACAUGCACAGUUGACUGAUCACAUCAAGUAAAUCUAAAAGUGCAUCCAAGCCAGAUAAACGUGUUGAUCAGGAAGGACCAUUGAAUUACUUUGGUGAAGUUCUGAGAUACAGGUUUGGUAAUUCUUAAUUAUUUAUCAGUUUCAGCUGGUUAAAAGCAAUUGCGGUAAAGCACAGUGGUACAUUUUGAUGUCUCCAUCAGUCUCCAGCACUUCUCUCAGCUCGGGGAAUGAGAUGAGUGGCUCGUCUAGGUGGAAUGCCGUGGCAUUUGGUGCAGUGCAUCCGUGGUGUUGCUCAGAAUCCAUCCCUUGCUUCAUAUAUUGCUAUUUUUGUUUUUGACAGGCAGAGUUAGAGAGAGAGAGAGAGACAGAGAGAAAGGUCUUCCAUUUCCGUUGUUUCACUCCCCAAAUGGCUGCUAUGGCCAGCGCACUGCACCGAUCCGAAGCCAGGAGCCAGGUGCCUCCUCCUGGUCUCCCAUGUGGGUACAGAGCCCAAGGACCUGGGCCAUCCUCCACUGCUUUCCUGGGCCACAGCAAAGAGCUGAACUGGAAGAGGAGAAACCAGAACAGAAUCUGGUGCCCCAACCGGGACUAGAACCUGGAGUGCCGGCGCCACAGGCAGAGGAUUAGCCAAGUGAGCCGUGGCACCGGCCCAUAUAUUGCUUUUUAAGAACAGCUCCUCUAGGAUUCUGGUUGGUCCCAUUUCCUUAUGGAAACAUGGAAGAAGGAAGUUAGAGGGUUAACUCAUAGCCCCCCAUGGUUGCAGCUGAUCUGAAGUCUGCAACUGAUGUUCAUCAUCUGUCUCUGUCCUCAACCACACACUCUGGAUUCACCUUACUGUCACCUAGCACUUCUGGUCUAAGUGACCUAUCUGAUAGUGAACUGAGACUCUUAUUUUAGAGCAGUCUGAUCUCCUGGUCUUGGCUGGUACACUUGUCUAUUUAUUAUCAAAGUGUUCCAGAGGAUAUCCUAGUGCAUCAAAUGGCACCUGUCAGGUCAAACAUUACAAGCUGUUGCAUAAGUGGUGAGUGAGGCCCUCAAGAAGGGAAGUCAGCUCAUAUUCCACGUAAGUGUUGAUUCUAGUCAAGAUGAGCUGCUGCUGCCUAUUCUAGAUUGGAAGGGAUUCAGUGUAAUCAAUUAGCUACCACAUAGCUGGUUCCCUUUGAAGGAUGAGAACAUGUUGGAUGCCUAGCUUUGGUGCAAUUUGCUGGCAGGACGGAUAUUCAGCAGUGUCAGUAACUAGCUCACUUUGGUGAGUGGAAGCCCCUUAUCACUGGACUCAAACAUAGCAUCUAUAACUGCCAUCAUGGGUCUUUCACUUCUAGCCCAUUAUGCCAUCAGUAGGGUGGCUCAUGACAGGGUAUGAUGCCUGAAUAAUGCCUAAGUGUUCUGUUCUUACCAGAGCAAUGCUCCCUGUGGGCAGUGAUCUUCACUGUUUGUACUUACCUUGUGUGUUCAUCCACAUACCUCUUCUCCAUAUCUCCUGUAGUUUCCAAGCCCUGAACCAACCAGCCACUGCCAUUUACCACUGCCUGUGAGUCAUUAUAUAUUCCUGUAUCAGGAAUAUAUCUCUCCACACAAAGUAGAUGAGUACUUGUUCCACUUGAAGUUAUGCCCGCAGAGAGGAUAUCUUUUCACUUAAGUCACCCCUAAGUAGCCAUUAGUGCAGUAAUGGUCAACCUUUGACUGGAAUCAUAUACCAAGCUAAGUGAAUCUUGAACCUAUCUAGAUUUUUUUCCUCCUUUUUCAAAUGAUUAUUAGGGAUUCCCAUAUUUCCAUAGACAUGAGUUAAAUGAGACACCUGGUACUAAAAUGUAGAUGCUGAAGGGUCUUGAGCUACCUACUCAUUUAUACUCACCCUGGUACUGUUUUUUGCAAAAUCCCACAUGGGAUCAUAAUGUAACAGUGGAUUUAGGCUGAGCCCUUCCAACUUUAAGACUUUGUGAACUCAUAGAACCCAGUUCAGGAUACCUGGUUAUUCAUAUCUAGGUAUUCAGCCACCAGAGCAAAACAACAUGCCAGCAGAUGUUUUUGAAAGUAUACAGUUCUUGCCUGCAAAUGGCAUGACUUUGUCUUAGAAUGCUAGAGUCUGUAUUGUAAUUGUCUUAUUGGUGCUUGUCAUAAACACAACUAAAUGUCUUUUUUCCUCCCCCUAUCCCUCUAAGAGGGAUCAAGGUCAGGGUCAGGGCUGCAUUCAUCACAGACUGGACCUGCUGCAGAGUUGCUUCCUGCUCCAGGCCACACUCUAAGCUGGAAGGAUUUAAUGCCAUCCACUAAAUAGAUUAGGGCAGUAUUUCUAGGUGUGGAAUAUGCUGCCUCUAGAACCUAGGAUGUCUCCAAAUACUGUUGUUUAUUCUUAGCGAUUGAAAUUGUGGAGUGCAAUAGUUUAUCCUUUAGAGUGCAGAGGAUCCUCUAGCAUUCCUUGAACCACUGAACCCUAGAAACAUCACUGACGUGUGGAGUCUCAGACUCCUCACAGGGCUUGUCUCCCCACCUCCUGUCACACCAAGACCUCCAAUGUACCUGUCACUUUUUGCUUAUCCACUUUAAAAAGCGUCAUUGAUGUGGUAGAUUAUAACAUUCUGCAGACUUGAUGUUGUUCAGGUCCCUUGACAUAGCAUUUAGAUAACUUUCAGAAGAGUUGAAAGUCCUGGAACAGCCUAUAAAAGUAUACCAUUAACCCUGUCAAGGGAAUGCAGACAGGACUGAAAAAGAAUCCAUUUUCCAAAUCCAGGGAAACAUGUCAUCCACUCAAAGACAAAAGAAUCCAAAUUUGACACAGUGUCUACAACCAUAGUACACUGAAUUUAAAUUGUGUGUGGUAGUUCAACAUCAUUCUCCUGGAUCUGUCUGAUUUUGUAGUAUCUCAAGUGAUGAAUUAAAUCUGAGUGUGCUGGGGUUCACUAGCUCUGCUUCCUGCCUCCUUUAGUUUUUGAGGGUAGCACUUAAACAGAUAAUACUUUUAAAAAACAUAAAUCCAAUACCAUUAUCACAACAUUCAAAAUUCAUAUAAUUUCAUCUAAUACCUAUUGUUUCUGAGAAUGUGACAUCUAUUUUGACUUAGACAUGGGUGGAAGGAUGGUUUGAGGGUUUCAUUUGGGCUUGAUAGGCCAAGAAACCAGAGUCAGGGUUCUGCCCAUUACAGAGUAUGUUCACUCCAAUUAUACAGUUGGAGACCAGGGGACUUAAUCAUGCUGGGCUUGAGAAACCUCUAGACUCUGAGACUGACCCUGGAUUAGGACUUCAUUUUCUAUUGGAGCCCCAUUCACAUUUACUCAAAGAGAGGAUGCUGCUGCUGCUUUAUUCUUAGGGUAUGCAAGUCAACUUGGACUCUUGUCCAAUAGUCUUGAAAGUAUUUAGAUAUUUACCUCUCGUCACUGUACAAACUACCUACAUAAAUGUCUAUGACAGGUCAUUUUAGUUAGAGACUGGAAGAAUGUCACCAUAUACCCCUGCUAUGAUGUUACAGAAUUCUACUGGAAACUUGCUCUCUCCUUCAGUCAGUGGGUUAUAGGUUUGAAACUAACUCAUGUUUAGAAACAAGUAAAAAGAGUAUGACUGUUGGAACACCUGUAUUCACCUGUCUGGUCAUCCAUUUUUCAUUCUUCUGAUUGUAUCAAUUGAACAGUAUCUCUUUUAUCUGACAGUCCAUGUUGUUUCUUAGGAUGCAUGCCUUAAUAACCAUUUCCAUGGCUCUCUCCAUCAAGCUCCCUUGGCUGCUACUUCAGUCUUACAGAAACUGAACACAGCUUGCAUUUCUAGUUAAGUGCCGCCACAUGGUUCCUAUUAUUUUGUAAUUUUAGUGUUCAAAUUAUUGUCAGAGUUCUCAUUCUGUAUGACAUUUCCUACCAACAGGACUCAUCUACUGAAGAGAGCCUCUGUUGUUCUCAGCAAUGAUGAUGGCCUUCUCACCAACACACAUUUUAUUGGUUUGGUAAAUGCAGUAUAUUUUGGGCUUCUUAUAGAACAUAGUCAAUUUUUAAGUUUUUCAACUGUAUCUAAUUUAGCAACUCUAGCAUGACAAUUUCUGUGAGAUUUUGAUUGCUUCUUUCUCUAUCACAGCAAUUCAGGCAUUUCUACUUCACUUAACAUGGAUUUGUUUUUUGAUCGAAUUUUCAAAUGUCUUCCAAGUAUUACCAUCAUCCUUGGGAUCAUUAACAAUGGCUUAAACCCUCCAUUGUAGAUGAGUACUUUCACAUUGAGGAAUUCUCCUAUUCCAACUUUGUCCUGUACCUUCAGAACCCAGCCUCAUACACACUUUCCCACUCUUGUUAGUACAUAUAGAUAGGUCUUGUGAGUAUUUCUUUUGAGAUAUAGUCAUUUUUCUCUUUCAAAAGACUAUAUUUCUCUGGCUGGUGUGAAAAGAUUAUUUGGUCUUUCAGAGUACUGUUAUGAAGAGUAGAUGCAGUAAAAACCCAAGUUAAAUCUAUUUCUGAAGCAGAUUCCUUUCUUUCUCUAAGGGCUAUGCGAUAUGGCGAUAUUACCUUGCCAUAAGUUCAUGAACCCUGGAGAGCCACAGUUUGAGUAAUUUUGGUUAAUUCAUUUUCUGGGGACUAGAAUAGCAAAAUAAAGGAGAGCUUAGUUCAGUAAGUCAAAGAUCAUUUUCUUCAAUCAGUUAAGUGUCAAGAGGAUAGCUAGUUACUUCCUCUGAUGUUAUACCAUCAUCAAGAUUAU